rnacentral:rRNA from 1 species
GAGUUUGAUCCUGGCUCAGAGUGAACGCUGGCGGCAGGCCUAACACAUGCAAGUCGAACGGCAGCACAGUCCCGCAAGGGAUGGGUGGCGAGUGGCGGACGGGUGAGGAAUACAUCGGAAUCUACCUUGUCGUGGGGGAUAACGUAGGGAAACUUACGCUAAUACCGCAUACGACCUACGGGUGAAAGCGGCGGACCGCAAGGCGUCGCGCGAUUGGAUGAGCCGAUGUCCGAUUAGCUAGUUGGCGGGGUAAAGGCCCACCAAGGCGACGAUCGGUAGCUGGUCUGAGAGGAUGAUCAGCCACACUGGAACUGAGACACGGUCCAGACUCCUACGGGAGGCAGCAGUGGGGAAUAUUGGACAAUGGGCGCAAGCCUGAUCCAGCCAUGCCGCGUGUGUGAAGAAGGCCUUCGGUUGUAAG